AGCUUCUCUUGGCCCCCUCCCUGUGUCUGUUCCUGUUCCCGGGCCUCUGGCCCCUGAUGCCUUCAGGAGCUUGGGCCUCUCCUGCUCCACUCCUAAACUUCAGCUUCUCAGCAAACAGGCCUCCCAAGUCCCUGCUUCUCCCUCUCAGGCCUUGCUAGCCUCACCAGCUCUAGGGCCUGGCCAGGCCUCCCAGGCUCCCUCCUCCACCCCCACCCCUUCUCACUCAUGGAGCCCCUGGGACUGGUCGUGCAUGGGAAAGCUGAACCUUUUUCCACGGCACUCCGAAGCCUUGUCAACAACCCGCGAUACAGGUGGCCGUAACCUUUGGCCUGGGGCAGCUGCAGGAGCGCUGCGUGGCUUUCAUAGAGGCCCACAGCCAGGUACUGCUCCCUUUAUACUCCUCACCCUACGCACCGCAUUGUGCUCCUCCCUGACCCAUUUGCUGGCUCGCAGGAGGCCCUCCGGACCCGAGGCUUCCUGGAGCUGUCGGCGGCAGCGCUGCUGCCCCUGCUCCGCAGCGACAAGCUCUGCGUGGACGAGGCUGAACUGGUCCGCGCGGCCCGAAGCUGGGCGCGCGUGGGCGCGGCGGUGCUGGAGCGGCCGGUGGCCGAGGUGGCGGCCCCGGUGGUGAAAGAGCUGAGACUAGCCUUGCUGGCCCCGGCGGAGCUGAGCGCCCUGGAGGAGCAGAACCGGCAGGAACCACUUAUCCCGGUGGAGCAGAUUGUGGAGGCGUGGAAAUGCCAUGCCCUGCGGAGAGGGGAUGAGGCCCGGGGCGCCCCGUGUCGCCGCCGGAGAGGCACCCUGCCCCGGGAGCAUCAUCGCUUUCUGGACCUGUCCUUCAAAUGAUCCAACGCCGGGACUCGCAGAGAGCCCUGGACCCGCCCAUCUGAGCCUGCUCCAAACUACAGCUCCCGAAGUGCUCGGCGUUCAGAGUGGGCUUCCGUUCCCAGCGUGCCCAGUGAGCUGGCCGCCGGAAGAACCGUUGUCUGCCACGCGCAGCCCCUUGUGCGGGAUCAAGCCCGUGUGGGCGAGGUGGGGUCGGGUCGGCAGGGCUUGGGCUGGGCCUCCCUGAGGGGGUGAAACUCGAAAACGAGGAUUUCCUUCGCUCCACACCCUCACUCUACGCCCUGCCCCUGGGCAUCGUCGUCUACUAGUCAAUUCUGAUGACUCCCACAUAUCUAUCUGUUCAGCUCAGCUCCCUCUUUCUUUUCUUUCUUUUCUUCUCUCUCUCUCUUUCUUUCUUUAUUCUCUUUUCUUCUUUCAUUUUUUUUUGAGAUGGAGUCUCGCACUCUCGCCCAGGCCGGAGUGCAGUGGUGCCAUCUCGGCUCACUGCAAGCUCCGCCUCCCGGGUUCACGCCGUUCUCCUGCCUCAGCCUCCUGAGUAGCUGGGACUACAGGCGCCCAUCACCACGCCCGGCUAAUGUUUUUGAAUUUUUAGUAGAGACGGGGGUUUCACCGUAUUAGCCAGGAUGGUCUCGAUCUCCUGACCUUGUGAUCCGCCCGCCUCGGUCUUUUUUUUUUUUUUUUUUUUUUUUGAGACAUUGUCUUGCUGUGUCCUCAAGGCUGGAGUGUAGUGGCGCGAUUUCGGCUCACUUCAACCUUCGCCUCCCAGGUUCAAGCGAUUCUCGUGCCUCAGCCUCCUGAGUAGCUGGGAUUACAGACAUGCACCACAACGCCCGGCUAAUUUUUGUAUUUUUAGUAGAGACGGGGGUUUCACCAUGUUGGCCAGGUUGGUCUCGAACUCCUGACUUCAUGUGAUCUGCCAGCCUCGGCCUCUCAAAGUGCUGGGAUUACAGGUGUGAGCCACCAUGCCCGGCCUCAGCUCCUUCUUUCAUUCCAGACCUGCCCCCCUGGAGACUGCUCCCUGAAUGCCCCUCAGACACCACCGGCUUGGUGCGAAAUUGAUCUCCUCAGCUUUUCCCCAGCUCUGCCCCCAUUGUGUUUCUCAUUUCCGUGGGCACCCACGCCAGAAACCUGGAUCUCCUCAUCCUUGCCUUAUCCCUCUUCUUCACACCUGCCUUAGGUCUCUUUUUACCUUGUAAGAGACCUUUCCAGUUGGUUCAGUUCUCUCAGCCCCAGGUUCAGCCUGUCCUGUCUGACACAUCUCACAGCCUUCCUGCCUUCCCUCCAGCGCCCCCUCAAUCCAUUUCCUACAGUGCAGCCAGACCUGUCUUUGAUUGUCAGUCCUAUGGGACUUAAGUCCUGGAACAUCCCAUUGACCUCCAGGACAAAAUUCAAUCUAUUUCACUUUCAGGGCACUCAAAACUACUAGUGAGUGGUUCCUCAUCUCUUCUCUCAAAUACAAUCUUUGCAUAAAUUCAUUUAUCCUGGAGGUAUUAGUCCUCUAGCUCCAUACUUAAUCAGUUACUGCGGACCCCUCUGCUACCUCCUUCAUUCACUAUACAUCUUGUUUUUCCGAGGAUGUGAAUCUCCCUCAAGAAAGAUCCCUGGGGCCUGGAGUGGUGUCUUACUCGUUUCUGCUUCCUCAGUCUCUGUCAGAUAAUCAGUGCUAUGUAAAUGUUAAGUAAAUGACUUUAUUUAUUUA
rnacentral:sRNA from 1 species